rnacentral:misc_RNA from 1 species
AAGCCUUCAAGCCUUGCUUGGUGUUGGGCGUUGUCUGCGUGUGUGCGGACUCGCUUCAAAUGCAUUGGCAGUCAGCAAUGGGGUUGUUGGAGCGCAGCACAUUUUGCGUUCCCAGCCACAGGUGCCGGCGUCCACAAAGCUUAUUUCAACGU